GAGGAAACUUGUGCUAAUACCGGAUAAGUCUUUACGGAGAAAGCUUUAUGCACCAUUGGAUGAGCCUGCACUUGAUUAGUUUGUUGGUAGGGUAAUGGCCUACCAAGACUGUGAUCAAUAGCUGAUUUGAGAGGAUGAUCAGCCACAUUGGGACUGAGACACGGCCCAAACUCCUACGGGAGGCAGCAGUGGGGAAUCUUGCACAAUGGAGGAAACUCUGAUGCAGCGAUGCCGCGUGAGUGAAGAAGGCCUUUGGGUUGUAAAGCUCUUUCGUCGGGGAAGAAAAUGACUGUACCCGAAUAAGAAGG
rnacentral:rRNA from 1 species